GCAUGUCUAAGUAUAAGCAAUCUAUACGGUGAAACUGCGAAUGGCUCAUUAAAUCAGUUAUCGUUUAUUUGAUAGUACCUUACUACUUGGAUAACCGUGGUAAUUCUAGAGCUAAUACAUGCUAAAAACCUCGACUUCGGAAGGGGUGUAUUUAUUAGAUAAAAAACCAAUGCCCUUCGGGGCUCCUUGGUGAUUCAUAAUAACUUAACGAAUCGCAUGGCCUUGUGCCGGCGAUGGUUCAUUCAAAUUUCUGCCCUAUCAACUUUCGAUGGUAGGAUAGUGGCCUACCAUGGUUUCAACGGGUAACGGGGAAUUAGGGUUCUAUUCCGGAGAGGGAGCCUGAGAAACGGCUGCCACAUCCAAGGAAGGCAGCAGGCGCGCAAAUUACCCAAUCCCGACACGGGGAGGUAGUGACAAUAAAUACUGAUACAGGGCUCUUUUGGGUCUUGUAAUUGGAAUGAGUACAAUUUAAAUCCCUUAACGAGGAACAAUUGGAGGGCAAGUCUGGUGCCAGCAGCCGCGGUAAUUCCAGCUCCAAUAGCGUAUAUUAAAGUUGUUGCAGUUAAAAAGCUCGUAGUUGAACCUUGAGCCUGGCUGGCCGGUCCGCCUCACCGCGUGCACUGGUCCGGCCGGGUUUUUCCUUCUGGGGAGCCGCAUGCCCUUCACUGGGUGUGUCGGGGAACCAGGACUUUUACUUUGAAAAAAUUAGAGUGUUCAAAGCAGGCCUAUGCUCGAAUACAUUAGCAUGGAAUAAUAGAAUAGGACGUGUGGUUCUAUUUUGUUGGUUUCUAGGACCGCCGUAAUGAUUAAUAGGGAUAGUCGGGGGCAUCAGUAUUCAAUUGUCAGAGGUGAAAUUCUUGGAUUUAUUGAAGACUAACUACUGCGAAAGCAUUUGCCAAGGAUGUUUUCAUUAAUCAGUGAACGAAAGUUAGGGGAUCGAAGACGAUCAGAUACCGUCGUAGUCUUAACCAUAAACUAUGCCGACUAGGGAUCGGGCGAUGUUAUUUUUUUGACUCGCUCGGCACCUUACGAGAAANCAAAGUCUUUNGGUNNUGGGGGG
rnacentral:rRNA from 1 species